GACGAACGCUGGCGGCGUGCUUAACACAUGCAAGUCGAACGAUGAAGCCCAGCUUGCUGGGUGGAUUAGUGGCGAACGGGUGAGUAAUACGUGAGUAACCUGCCUUUAACUCUGGGAUAAGCCUUGGAAACGGGGUCUAAUACCGGAUACGACCAACCCUCGCAUGGGGUGUUGGUGGAAAGGGAUUUUGUACUGGUUUUAGAUGGGCUCACGGCCUAUCAGCUUGUUGGUGAGGUAACGGCUCACCAAGGCGACGACGGGUAGCCGGCCUGAGAGGGUGACCGGCCACACUGGGACUGAGACACGGCCCAGACUCCUACGGGAGGCAGCAGUGGGGAAUAUUGCACAAUGGGCGCAAGCCUGAUGCAGCGACGCCGCGUGAGGGAUGACGGCCUUCGGGUUGUAAACCUCUUUCAGCAGGGGAGAAGCGAAAGUGACGGUACCUGCAGAAGAAGCGCCGGCUAACUACGUGCCAGCAGCCGCGGUAAUACGUAGGGCGCGAGCGUUGUCCGGAAUUAUUGGGCGUAAAGAGCUUGUAGGGCGGUUUGUCGCGUCUGCUGUGAAAGCCCGGGGCUUAACCCCGGGUUUGCAGUGGGUACGGGCAGACUAGAGUGCAGUAGGGGAGACUGGAAUUCCUGGUGUAGCGGUGAAAUGCGCAGAUAUCAGGAGGAACACCAAUGGCGAAGGCAGGUCUCUGGGCUGUAACUGACGCUGAGAAGCGAAAGCAUGGGGAGCGAACAGGAUUAGAUACCCUGGUAGUCCAUGCCGUAAACGUUGGGCACUAGGUGUGGGGAACAUUCCACGUUUUCCGCGCCGUAGCUAACGCAUUAAGUGCCCCGCCUGGGGAGUACGGCCGCAAGGCUAAAACUCAAAGAAAUUGACGGGGGCCCGCACAAGCGGCGGAGCAUGCGGAUUAAUUCGAUGCAACGCGAAGAACCUUACCAAGGCUUGACAUAUACUGGACCGCCUCACAGAUGGGGUUUCCCUUUUAGGGCUGGUAUACAGGUGGUGCAUGGUUGUCGUCAGCUCGUGUCGUGAGAUGUUGGGUUAAGUCCCGCAACGAGCGCAACCCUCGUUCUAUGUUGCCAGCACGUAAUGGUGGGGACUCAUAGGAGACUGCCGGGGUUAACUCGGAGGAAGGUGGGGAUGACGUCAAAUCAUCAUGCCCCUUAUGUCUUGGGCUUCACGCAUGCUACAAUGGCCGGUACAAAGGGUUGCGAUACUGUGAGGUUGAGCUAAUCCCAAAAAGCCGGUCUCAGUUCGGAUUGGGGUCUGCAACUCGACCCCAUGAAGUCGGAGUCGCUAGUAAUCGCAGAUCAGCAACGCUGCGGUGAAUACGUUCCCGGGCCU
rnacentral:rRNA from 1 species